rnacentral:rRNA from 1 species
GAUGAACGCUGGCGGCGUGCCUAAUACAUGCAAGUCGAGCGAACGGACGAGACGCUUGCUUUUCUGAUGUUAGCGGCGCACGGGUGAGUAACACGUGUAUAACCUACCUAUAAGACUGGGAUAACUUCGGGAAACCGGAGCUAAUACCGGAUAAUAUUUUGAACCGCAUGGUGCAAAAGUGAAAGACGGUCUUGCUGUCACUUAUAGAUGGAUCCGCGCUGCAUUAGCUAGUUGGUAAGGUAACGGCUUACCAAGGCAACGAUGCAUAGCCGACCUGAGAGGGUGAUCGGCCACACUGGAACGGAGACACGGUCCAGACUCCUACGGGAGGCAGCAGUAGGGAAUCUUCCGCAAUGGGCGAAAGCAUGACGGAGCAACGCCGCGUGAGUGAUGAAGGUCUUCGGAUCGUAAAACUCUGUUAUUAGGGAAGAACAUAUGUGUAAGUAACUGUGCACAUCUUGACGGUACCUAAUCAGAAAGCCACGGCUAACUACGUG